CUUAAAUAUGUAAUAUAUAAUAUGCCUUUUGUCAAUAAAAAAAAAAUUGAGAUAUCACUAGCCUUCCAGAAUUUGUGUUUGUUCCCUGGAUUGUUAAUACUUUCCUGGUCUAUUUUUUCAAAAAUAUCAAGAAACAAAACUAGCGAAUUGGUUUCGAGAACUCAGAGAAAGCAAAAACAAUCAGAUACCAGAUCUGGAUGUUUGUGUUCUGUGCAAGUGUGUUAAGCACAAGGCUUGAUUAAACAAAUUUGAUAUCAUCAUGGAUGUGAUGCUAUCUGGGGAAGUUAAGGGAAGCAAUGACUUGCUGAAGCAGAUUUCUUCUACAAAUGUGUGUGUGAAAUGUGAAUUCACUGACAUCAUUCUUCACGUUAUAUUCAGGUCAAUGUCUAGCUGAAACUGUCUAAUGAUUUUGCAGAAAAUUAUUUGUUAAAUUAUAUAGC
rnacentral:lncRNA from 1 species